CUGCUGUUCUCCCUUCUGGAAGGAACUCCUUAAAACGUUUUGGGCUUACCACCGGAUGAAGUUGGUGUCAAAGGAUGAUGAAAUGUCAAAACCUUGUGAUUAACAUUAUGGUCUAAAAGUUCGAAAACUUCAACUUUAAUAAUUGGAGAUUAAGGACCAAUUAAGGACAAGGUUGUGUGGCCCAAGUUAAGGACAUCUUUUGGAAACCACAUUUGGAAAAUAUUCGUACGUGGGUAGGUGAAUUUUUUGAUAAUCAGAAGAAAACUUCAGACUGUUACAAUGCCAAAUUCGACAGAUGGUUGAAAGAAACGGAAAGUUAUCUCUUAUCACUUGACUUUGUCCAAGAUGUGACUAUCUACGCAGUGGGCUCGAACUGGAUUCUAUUCGUUGGAUAGCGAAAUUAAGAUUGCCCUUGAAUUCUACGACGUAAAACCUUCUGUGACAAGUAAAUGUGAGCCAGUUUUCUUCCAUUGUUCGGAAGUUUGUCGAAGUAAUCCUGGGAAAAGUGCAUACGCUCCCUCGAACCAUAUCUGUAGGAUUAAUUAUUAGAUUUAACUGGGAGAAUUUAAUUGGUUACUAGCGACGAGUAUAAUCUUAGAUCCGAGCAUGUCUAAUCGUUAAAAUGUUUGAAUUAAUAGUGAUUAAAUCCAUGUCUAAUGUUAUGAGAAAGAUUACUUGUUAAUUGAUUAUAAUAAAAAUAAAAAUUUCUCUCUCUCUCUCUCUCACUUUCUCUUUCUCACUUCCUAUCUCCCGCCCUCCCUCUAUCUUCUCUAUCUUUCUCUGUACGUUUUUUGACAGACUUCACUUAUGGGAAUGUCCUCGGAAUGCUGUUCUUUAUUCAUUAAUCGAUGUUAAAGUAUAUAAAUUAUAAUUAUUCAGAAAUCGUGA